AGUGAACGCUGGCGGCAGGCCUAACACAUGCAAGUCGAACGAACUCUUCGGAGUUAGUGGCGGACGGGUGAGUAACACGUGGGAACGUGCCUUUAGGUUCGGAAUAACUCAGGGAAACUUGUGCUAAUACCGAAUGUGCCCUUCGGGGGAAAGAUUUAUCGCCUUUAGAGCGGCCCGCGUCUGAUUAGCUAGUUGGUGAGGUAAAGGCUCACCAAGGCGACGAUCAGUAGCUGGUCUGAGAGGAUGAUCAGCCACAUUGGGACUGAGACACGGCCCAAACUCCUACGGGAGGCAGCAGUGGGGAAUCUUGCGCAAUGGGCGAAAGCCUGACGCAGCCAUGCCGCGUGAAUGAUGAAGGUCUUAGGAUUGUAAAAUUCUUUCACCGGGGACGAUAAUGACGGUACCCGGAGAAGAAGCCCCGGCUAACUUCGUG
rnacentral:rRNA from 1 species